UAUGUUUAUGUGAAUUAAGUUCGACUCAUAUACAUAUAUAUAGAGAUAUAUAGUUAAAAAAGCAUCAAAAUACUUUUAAUCGUAAUGCUAUUAUCACUCAGCAGAAAGUAAUCAUGAUAUUGAAACUGCUUGCAUAUAUGCAGCUUAUUUAUUUAUUGUUUAGCAUAGCUAAAGCGAGGCCUGAAUUUCAACAAUUGUCCAGGAUAAAUAAGGAUUUUAAUGAAAACGUUGACAGUGGUCCCCCAAAUAUGCCUUUCCGAAAUUCCAGAAGUCCAACAUUUAUAGAUGAACUCGAUGAUAACAUUUCAACGUAUGCACUAGCGUCUUUAUCUGGGGGUGGUACUGGUAAAUAAACAAAUUUACUAAGGAAAGAUCUUCAAUUUAUUUUCUUUUUUUUUGUAUGGAAUUUUAUGAUUCAACAUUGUAAUUACAAAGAGAAAUAUGAAUUUUUCUGGUGUAUUUUUACGGACUAUUUUUAAUUUUAUUGUAGCCUUAAAGAAUUUGUUAAUCAUCUAUGAAAUUAAUUAUGUUUUUAAAAAUAAAACAAAAAAAUACAAAAAGUAUGGAUAUUAACUAAAAUUCUUUUUUUUUUUAAUAUGGCUUGUAAAAAAUUGCGAAAAUUGUGACAAAAAAUAUGAUAAUAAAUUAUUGACUAUUUUUA